rnacentral:rRNA from 1 species
CUCUGUUUGAAGGUAUAAAGAGUAUAACCUGCUCACUGAUAAAAGUUUAAGAGCCGCAGUAUUUUGACUGUGCAAAGGUAGCAUAAUCGUUUGUUUUUUAAUUGGAAUCUUGUAUGAAUGGUUGGACAAGAGAAAAACUGUCUUUAUAAGAAAAAUUGAAUUUAACUUUUAGAUGAAAAGGUCUAAAUAAAUUAAAGGGACGAUAAGACCCUAUAAAGCUUAAUAUAAAAAGUUAGUUAAUUAAAUUUUAUUAAAAUAAAAAUGAAUUAAUUUAAUAUAUUUUGUUGGGGCGACAGAGGUAAAAUUAUUAUUAACUACUUAAAUAAAAUUCAAAUAUAAGUGUAAUUUUAAAAGAUCCUAGUUAAAGAUUUAAAGUUUAAGUUACUUUAGGGAUAACAGCGUUAUUUUUUUUGAGAGUACUUAUC